CCAGUUGUGGCCUCCCAGUACCAGGAGGGGCCUACGAGACAGUGGGGAGGGACUAUUUAAAAGGCCCUGCAGUGACACAGCAAGAAGUGAUGACUUUAAACUGACAGAGGGCAGGCUUAGCUGACAAAACACAAGCUGCAUUUGUUUGUGAAAACUGGCAGGAUGGGAAAAGAAAUAUUUUGCUUCUCCCCAGUUCCUGGCAUUUUUAGCUGUCUUGAAGUUGAAAAGCAGAUUUUUGUUGAACCACAGCCUAAGGAAACUCCUCGGUGUACAUGAAAAGCAAGUUACUCUCCAGAGAAACGACAAGAGAUUUCAGCUUUUUGUCCAGAGAUCUAAAGAGAUGAAACAUCAAAUAGAUAUGAAACAUUCAGAUGCAGCAAAGAGCAAGAAACCCUUAUACCCAGUCUAUGAGUAAUACCUUUCAAAUGCACUCUUGUCUACAAAAUCACUUCCUGUAAAUCUGUUCAUGCCUGCGCAGAGACCCUGCAUCAGUCUUGUAAACCACUAAACCCUCCAAAUUACUUAGGUGACCCAAGCUCAGAAAAUUUUACUUCUGUGAUGCUUAGCAGCUGGUAUAAAUCAGAAUUACAAUUUCAAUCAAAGGGGAAGUCUAGACCAAAACCAUACCUGGAAUACCUAAGGAAUGUGACAGGAGAAUAUGCACAUGCCAAAUGAUACACAACAGAAGACCACAAUUAUCUGCUGAAACAAGAUAUUCUUUUGGAAAAAGAAUGACUGGUACAUAUUUACACAUCUAUUUGUGUCUGCAGCUCAGCACACCAAAAGGCAAAGUAGGGCAAAAGUCUGGAUGGGAUUUUUUCCUCCCCUGAUUCUGAAGUCUUCCUCACAGUAGAAGAAGAAAGCUUAUUUUCUUUAAAAACUAGUAUUAAAGUAGAUUUGCACCAUAAAGAUAAUUUUUUUCAUGCUGCUGUUUCAGCUAAAAUACUAUCUGGUCUCGGCAGAAGUAUUAAUAUUUGAAUGAUCCUUUUUUUUCCUUCUGAACUGCAAGGAAGUUACAUGACACCAAAAAACUGUGGCAGGGGGCAGAAGAAAGCAGUCCAGAUAAACAGGAAGAGAGAAGAAAGCUUGAAGAUGUGAGAAAAGGAAGGAUAAGUCUUUUUAGUUAUUUAUAAAGAAAUCACACAGUUAAACAUUUACAGAGCACGUUGCAUCUGGAAGGAUGUGCAGGUGUUUUGGUGUGUUCUGGAGAUACCAGAAAUAUCCAGGCCAAUAUUUUAAAGUCAUCACAGGCAUUUGAAUCAACAGUCUGGUCUGUCUUUGGACAUGCACUUCCUCAGGGUGUUUCCUAGAUCUACCAGAGCAUGGCACAAGCAGCUUGUACUUGGGUCAGGGAGAGGAGUGGGGAAAAUGACUUUUUUAAACAUAUGGUAAGCUGGGCUGGCUCCAUGACAAAGAAAUUUCAUGUUUUCCACUAAAGGCAAGGAUGAAGAAGAAACAGAGAAGAUGCUCAGGUCUGUUGGCUCAAAAACUUAUGGCCAGAUAUUAUCAGUCAAAGUUUAUUUAUUUAACACUAAAUUUACUGCAAUUCUGUGCCCAAUGAAUAAAAGCCUUAAAUACCCAGUGCUUUCGGUAUAGCACCUUUCACGACAAUGAAAAUUCCCACUUCUAGCCAGAGAGCACAUUAACAGUUUCUUCUCCCCUAAAACACUGGUCUCCACUGAGGUUAACAGGCCUCACAAUACCCAGCAGAACAACCCAUCAUUUUCUUUCAGCAGUAGAUGGUCCUUUCAUUUUCUACAGUUUCUUUAUGCAGCACCACCAUGUAGUGGUGCUUAUAGCACAAUUCACUUUGAUUGAGUGGAAGCAAGAAAGUCCAGUGACUUGGGCUAGAGAUGUAUGUAUGAUUGAAGCAAUUAGGGCCUGAAGCCCUAAUUUUUCUUGAUUUUUCUUUAAGAUAACAGGCAUACCUCAGCUAGGUCUGCAAUUCU